rnacentral:rRNA from 1 species
CCUACGGGCGGCUGCAGUGAGGAAUAUUGGUCAAUGGGAGAGAUCCUGAACCAGCCAAGCCGCGUGAGGGAAGACGGCCCUAUGGGUUGUAAACCUCUUUUGUCGGAGAACAAAACCCGGGACGUGUCCCGGACUGCGUGUAUCCGAAGAAAAAGCAUCGGCUAACUCCGUGCCAGCAGCCGCGGUAAUACGGAGGAUGCGAGCGUUCUCCGGUGUGAGUGGGUUUAAAGGGUGCGUAGGCGGUCCGUUAAGUCAGCGGUAAAAUUGCGGGGCUCAACCCUGUCGAGCCGUUGAAACUGGCAGACUUGAGUUGGCGAGAAGUACGCGGAAUGCGCGGUGUAGCGGUGAAAUGCAUAGAUAUCGCGCAGAACUCCGAUUGCGAAGGCAGCGUACCGGCGCCAGACUGACGCUGAGGCACGAAAGCGUGGGGAUCGAACAGGAUUAGAUACCCUUGUAGUA